GACGAACGCUGGCGGCGUGCCUAAUACAUGCAAGUAGAACGCAGUUGCGAACGGGUGAUUUACGCGUAGGUACCUGCCUCAUAGCGGGGGAUCACUAUUGGAAACGUUAGCUAAUACCCCAUCCUGUGAUAUGGUCCUGCGUUGUAUUAGGUAGUGGGUGAGGGAAAGGCUAACCAAGGCGACGAUACAUAGCCGACCUGGGGGGGGGGACCGGCCCACUGGGGCGUAGACACGGGCCAGACUUCUUCGGGAGGCAACAGUAGGGGAUCUUCGGCCAUGGACGGAAGUCUGACUGAGGAACGCCGGGUGAGGGAAGAAGGUUUUCGGAUCGUAAAGCUCUUUUGUGAGGGAAGCGGUAACUAAAGAGAAAGGAACGGCUAACUACGUGCCAGCAGCCGCGGUAAUAC
rnacentral:rRNA from 1 species